rnacentral:misc_RNA from 1 species
AUUUCCAUUUGAACUGGUUAGCAACAUUUGCAGAAAUAGGCAACCGGAAUCUUUACAUAAUUAUGAAAUCAGUUCGCAAACAAACAAUAGACUGUGAUGAACAUUUCACUAAGCAUACCCUUAAUUAUUUAAUGAAAUAGGUAGUUUGAAAUAUUCCAAAUUGUUAAAAUUGGAGGUGAGUUUUAUCAUUGAAUAGCUUUUUCUGGAGUCCUUAAGCAUGGCAGGGAUACCCGUAAUGAGUGAAUCAGCACCCAUUAAUGAUCUUGUUGCCGUUAUGAAUGCUUACAGCUCAUAUGUAUCAAUGCUCCAAGAUCCUGUUGCAAAGGAUGAAAGUAAAUUGAAAGCUUUGCAAGAAUUAAGUGGAGAGGUUGAAUUGGAAAAUGAGGAAAACAUUAGUAGUUUUUAGAAUAAUCAUAGAAUUUCAUAAGGCCACCAUGCAAUGUGGAGAUACAGAUGUUUCUGCUUUAUGUAAAGAAUAUUUACAAAGAUCUGCCUAAUUACUUGCAUCUUAUGUUUGAAGCACGGCCUACUCCAAAAGUAAAAAAUUUAUCAGCAGCUACGUUGAAACCGUUAUUGAAAGAAACAUUUACCAUCCCACCGAUUCAAAUUGAGAAAAGUUAAAAAAGGGAUCCAAAUUCAACUACUCAGAUGGUUUAUUUAAUCCCAAUAGCUACUAUGUCCCUAAAGGCACUGACAGAGCUACCUAUAAUUGUUGUCUUGAUGUACCAGCUAUAUAAAAUGAGUGUUCAUAAAGAUGUCGAAGAAUUUGUGCCAUUGAUAAUGACAACUAAUACUUUACAACCCACAGCUCAACAGAGGAGCAAUCCAUCUCUGAACAAAGAAGUUUAUGUUGACUUUAUGCCUGCACAGAUAAAAACAUUAUCUUUUGUGGCUUACCUAGUUAGAAUGUAUCAAGUGGAAAAUGAGGAAAUUAAGAAUAAUCAUAGAAUUUCAUAAGACCUUCAGGCCACCAUGCAGCUUUGAAGUAAGAAUGUGUUAUUUAUAUGAUUUAUCAGAUUCAUUGAAAACUAUUUUAUCAAUCAACUUUUGUAAAUUUUUGCAUUACAUUGAGUGGAAUGUGUUUCGAUAGGUUUAUUAACUUACAUUUGCAUGGGAAAAAGAAUAUUGACUUAAGCCGAUGUCAUUUAAUAGCAUACAUAAUACUACUAGUUAUUUAUCAUUUUACAUUACUCUGGCUACUAUUUUUUUUUAUUAAUGUAUCUUAUAAAAGAAUUUUUUUUUUUUUAGAUUUUUCACUUGUUUGAUUAAUUAGUUAUUUUGCACUUAAAAGUUUGAAAAGGUAUUAAUAUAGGCUUCCAUUACAAUGACAAAUGCUUAUAUGAAUUAUUCUUGAUAAAAUGAGAGAAGGAAAGAGAUGAAGAUAAUAGUUCUGCGAUAAAUCAAUUUAUGAAUAAAAUUUAUAAGCCUAUAAUUUGCGAUCUAAAUCUCAAUGAUCACAAGGAGUUAACUCAUUUUAAAUUCUCAGUACAGAAAUUUUAAUAAUCGACUAUCUCUCUGUGUGUACAAGUUCUCCUUAUUUUUGAGAAAUUCUUUAAUUUUUGUGCCAUUUUUCAGAAUUGUGCAUAUCCUACUAAUUAUAUCUGAAAAUUAAUGACUCUAAGAAAAGGAAAUUUGUAGAAGUGUUUGUAAUAGCUGGAUUUUUUAAAAAAAGAAUAGCGAAAUUAUAUUUUAAAACAGCCUUUCUCAGCCUAAAAUAAUUCAUAAUUUAAAUACUGUUUUUUUAAAAAUAAACUAUGUUAUUAUAUAUCUUUCAUUUGCUAAGAUGGAGUAAAAUACUUUUCAUAACUAUGAACAAACAACUAAAAAAAGAUUUCACACAAUGGCAUAAUUGCUAUUAAUGUUUAAAUUAAAAAAUAUAAUAUAAAAAAUGUUUCAUUUGAAAAAAUAUCCUUGUAUAGUUCUUACGAUAUUACAUAUGUUUAAUAAUGUAAAAGUCUUACUAAUUUUUCAACAUUGAUAACUAUUUCUUCAUAUAUUUAUACAAUGUGAAUUUAGUUUUCCUCCAAAAAAGUCUUACAUGUCUAAUUAGAACAGUAAAAAAAUUCUUUUUCUAAGUGAGUCAAGUUAAUAAACCUUAAAUAUCUUAUAAAGAAUACUAGAUUAAAUAUGUAUUAUGUAAUUAAUGAAAAAUUUAAAACUUU